AGCGAACGCUGGCGGCAGGCUUAACACAUGCAAGUCGAGCGCCCCGCAAGGGGAGCGGCAGACGGGAGAGUAACACGUGGGAACAUACCUUUUGGUUCGGAACAACUGAGGGAAACUUCAGCUAAUACCGGAUAAGCCCUUACGGGGAAAGAUUUAUCGCCGAAAGAUUGGCCCGCGUCUGAUUAGCUAGUUGGUGAGGUAACGGCUCACUAAGGCGACGAUCAGUAGCUGGUCUGAGAGGAUGAUCAGCCUCACUGGGACUGAGGCACGGCCCAGACUCCUACGGGAGGCAGCAGUGGGGAAUAUUGGACAAUGGGGGCAACCCUGAUCCAGCCAUGCCGCGUGAGUGAUGAAGGCCUUAGGGUUGUAAAGCUCUUUUGCCCGGGAAGAUAAUGACGGUACCGGGAGAAUAAGCCCCGGCUAACUUCGUG
rnacentral:rRNA from 1 species